rnacentral:rRNA from 1 species
UGGGGAAUAUUGCACAAUGGGCGCAAGCCUGAUGCAGCCAUGCCGCGUGUGUGAAGAAGGCCUUCGGGUUGUAAAGCACUUUCAGCGAGGAGGAAGGUGGUGAGCUUAAUACGCUCAUCAAUUGACGUUACUCGCAGAAGAAGCACCGGCUAACUCCGUGCCAGCAGCCGCGGUAAUACGGAGGGUGCAAGCGUUAAUCGGAAUUACUGGGCGUAAAGCGCACGCAGGCGGUUUGUUAAGUCAGAUGUGAAAUCCCCGGGCUCAACCUGGGAACUGCAUUUGAAACUGGCAAGCUAGAGUCUCGUAGAGGGGGGUAGAAUUCCAGGUGUAGCGGUGAAAUGCGUAGAGAUCUGGAGGAAUACCGGUGGCGAAGGCGGCCCCCUGGACGAAGACUGACGCUCAGGUGCGAAAAGCGUGGGGAGCAAAACAGGAUUAGAUACCCUGGUAGUCCACGCUGUAAAACGAUGUCGAUUUUGGAGGUUGUGCCCUUGAGGCGUGGCUUCCGGAGCUAACGCGUUAAAUCGACCGCCUGGGGAGUACGGCCGCAAGGUUAAAACUC